rnacentral:rRNA from 1 species
UACAGAGGAUGCAAGCGUUAUCCGGAAUGAUUGGGCGUAAAGCGUCUGUAGGUGGCUUUUUAAGUCCGCCGUCAAAUCCCAGGGCUCAACUCUGGACAGGCGGUGGAAACUACCAAGCUGGAGACCGGUAGAGGCUGGUAGGAUUGCAGGUGUAGCGGUGGAAUGCGUAGAGAUCUGCAAGAAUACCCGUGGCGAAGGCGGCCAGCUGGGCCGGUUCUGACGCUGAGGCGCGAAAGCGUGGGGAGCAAACAGG